rnacentral:rRNA from 1 species
GCGGACGGGUGAGUAAUACAUCGGAACAUGUCCUAUAGUUGGGGAUAACUCAUCGAAAGAUGAGCUAAUACCGAAUAAGCUCUGAGGAGGAAAGAUGGGGAUCCGCAAGGACCUGUCGCUAAAGGAGUGGCCGAUGGCUGAUUAGUUAGUUGGUAAGGUAAUGGCUUACCAAGGCGAUGAUCAGUAGCUGUUCUGAGAGGAAGAUCAGCCACACUGGGACUGAGACACGGCCCAGACUCC